rnacentral:rRNA from 1 species
UACGAAGGGUGCAAGCGUUAAUCGGAAUUACUGGGCGUAAAGGGUGCGUAGGCGGUUCGUUAAGUCUGUCGUGAAAUCCCCGGGCUCAACCUGGGAAUGGCGAUGGAUACUGGCGGGCUAGAGUGUGUCAGAGGAUGGUGGAAUUCCCGGUGUAGCGGUGAAAUGCGUAGGGAUCGGGAGGAACAUCAGUGGCGAAGGCGGCCAUCUGGGACAACACUGACGCUGAAGCACGAAAGCGUGGGGAGCAAACAGG